GGGUAGCUUGGCGGAAGGAUCAUUG
rnacentral:rRNA from 1 species